rnacentral:rRNA from 1 species
CCCUUAGACGUUCUGGGCCGCACGCGCGCUACACUGACGAAGGCAACGAGCUACUCUUCACCGAAAGGUGUGGGUAAUCUUUUGAAACUUCGUCGUGCUGGGGAUAGAUCCUUGCAAUUUUUGAUCUUAAACGAGGAAUUCCUAGUAAGCGCAAGUCAUCAACUUGCGUUGAUUACGUCCCUGCCCUUUGUACACACCGCCCGUCGCUACUACCGAUUGAAUGGUUUAGUGAGGCCUUCGGAUCCGCGACUCGUUUGUGGAGAAGUUGGACAAACUCAGUCAUUUAGAGGAAGUAAAANUCGUAACA